UACGGAGGAUCCGAGCGUUAUCCGGAUUUACUGGGUUUAAAGGGUGCGUAGGCGGGCGCUUAAGUCAGCGGUGAAAUGCGGGGGCUCAACCUUCGAACGGCCGUUGAUACUGGGCGCCUUGGAUUCGGUCGAGGCGGGCGGAAUGCGACAUGUAGCGGUGAAAUGCUUAGAUAUGUCGCAGAACGCCGAUUGCGAAGGCAGCUCGCCGGGCCGAUAUUGACGCUGAGGCACGAAAGCGUGGGGAUCGAAC
rnacentral:rRNA from 1 species